rnacentral:rRNA from 1 species
UACGGAGGGUGCAAGCGUUAUCCGGAUUCACUGGGUUUAAAGGGUGCGUAGGUGGGCAGGUAAGUCAGUGGUGAAAUCUCCGGGCUUAACCCGGAACUGCCGUUGAUACUAUUUGUCUUGAAUAUAGUGGAGGUGAGCGGAAUAUGUCAUAGUAGCGGUGAAAUGCUUGAUAUGACAUAGAAACAUCGAUUGCGAAGCAGCUCGCUACACUAUUAUUGACACUGAGGCACUGAAAGCG